GCCAGCUCUUGUGAUAUCUGUCAUCCCAUUGAUUGCCAAGGUUGAUUCAGCUCAUCUGGCUGGGUAGCUGGGUGUUCCCUUAUUCCUUCACUGCUUCAUGUGUAUCCAUCCUAAGCUUAAUGCUUAGUGGAAAAGAACAACUGCCCCUAACAGAGGACCGUUUCCUCGGUGAAGGGCAUAGGAGUAGCUGUGCUCCUCUUCUAGAAUCUCCAAAUAAGCACUCAAGAAAAUUGAUGUAGUGGUAGAACAUGGCAAUUUCAUGUGCUUCAGAUAAAUAUUUCUUUUAGAAAAUUUU
rnacentral:snRNA from 1 species